UUUCAUUUUAACUCCAAGAUCCACCAUUACUGAACUGAGGCUCCCUAGCACUUGAUGCUAUAACUCUACAGAGCUUGAGAAGAAUCUGAAAACAAUCCACCAGUGAUGAGUGGAACAUGACUGACACCCCUUCAUGAUUUCUUCUGCUAACCAUGAGUAAUAAAAAGCAAGAUUCUGACUUAAUUCAUAAAACUGAUUUGGAACAAAUGCUUUAAAAUACAGCCUUUAUUCUCUCUUAUAGAUGUAAAAUUAAUGAACAGCCUAUCAACUU